AAUGUGGUAAAACAAAAUAUAUCAAAGUGGUUUCCUUUUUCAUGAAAGAAAAACAGAAUCUGUCAUUGUCUUUAACCAAAACAUCAUAUAUCCUACAAUUUUUGAAUCACCCAGGUCAUUGUCUGUUCUCCUUUUUGUAUUAUGUCAUUAAUUUAUCUGUUUGGCUCGAUGUUACAGAAAUGGUUCCCACACCUGUCAUUACAAUGUUAAAGCUUAGCUCCAACCAGUCUGCUGGACUCUGCAGCAUCACAGUAAACUGCUCCAUCCAGGAUUAUUGGCUUUGGUCUGUUUGUGAUGAAGACGGCUGCAGAACAUCCUGGAAAUCAUUCAGUCAGGUCAACAUCACCAUCUUCACUGAGAACAGUACUGUGGUCUGCAGAGGCAACAACCAUGUUAGCACAAAUAAAGCUUCUGAAAGCUUAACACUGUAUCAAUGUGGAGUUCACCCGAAUCACCACAGUUCCACUGCUGUCCACAUUCAUGAGCAGUCUUGACCAGUACUCUGGCCAGUUGAUGAAGAUUCUAUGAAAAAAAGGAGGGGAAACAGCGCAGCGGAUCACAGCAGCGUUGUCUGCGAUUUCACAGAGUUCCCGAAUCGAAGUGAAGUGUGAAUGCAUCCUUAAAGCUGUGAUUAUAUACCUGAAUGAAUCAUCAAAGAGUACAUGGAUUUCAAUGUGAUGGAAGCUGAAGAGCUCGAGAGGAUGGAUUUUGGGUGUUUAUAAAAUAAUCCACGAAGGAGCACAGCCUGAUGACUCCCUUGAAGAUGUUGGCAUCAUUAUCGAGAGAUGCACCGUCUUGCAGGAUCUUCACGAUGUGGCAUGCAGGUGUGCACUUUUGUUUGGGCUAAUUUACCGCCUCAAUCUGAGUUACCCAAAGCCACUUCGCUACACAUUUGAGUUCUUCCAGAAGGUGCUCACAAGUGCUGAAGAACAAACUCUGCCAAAAGGAGACGCAAUGACUCUUCCAGAUCGAAAUGUCCCCCAAAAUAAGUGCUCUGUUUUCUUGCUGAGUAAAAGUUUUACUGUUUAAAAGUUUAUAAAUAUAUAAAUGUUGACCCUUGUUUGUAAAUAUUUUGUCAUAGCUUUUAAUAUUUAAGAGAUUUACUGAAUGCCAUUUUUCUUUUGAUUGUGGAAAAGUAAAACAUAAUUCUGAAACUGAGUUUUUUGAACUGGGGACAAAAUUACCCAGAUUGAUAUAUUUUUUUGUUUCACGUUAACAUUUUAUGCAGUUUGAGUUGCUGUGGUCAUUCUGCAGACUGUAGCCAUUGCAGACCUACAACUGUAGAUCCUGAAAUCAUUCUGUCAGGUUUGACAUCCUACUCCUCACUACACUGUCACUUAGUUGAAACUGGAAAGUUGUUUCAGAUGUUUACAUUUUGUUUUACACACUUCAUUUAAUGUUGCAUUAUGCAGUGUUGUUUCCCUGUUUAAGCUUUGCCUCAUUAAAGGCUUUUGUUCAAGUUGUUAAAGCAACACAUUUUUUUUUUUUUUUGUCUUUACACUGCAUAUUAGUUCUGGUGUACCAGGUUUCCAUUGUAGGUCAAGGAUCUUGAGUGUUAUAAAUGUUAAAGUGCAUGUGCAAACAAAUGUGAAAAGGUUCUAAGGUUGUCACCUGUACUCAAGUUAAGUGCUGGAUUUUUGGUCUCAGCAUUUAAUUAAGAAUAUUUUGAGAUUUGCUAUAUGCAUUUUUUUUUAUUAGAAAUAGGAAACUUAUAAUUCUGAAUCUGAUUUUUGGAACUGGGGACUAAAUCGCCCAGAUUUACCUUUUUGUGUCACUUAAGUAUUUUCAGUAAUUGCAUUAUACAGUGAUUUUUAAGUUGCUGUGGUAAAUCUGCAGAUCUGACUAGAAUCACAAGUUGUUGUAUUGAAUUCGACAUCUUACGGCACACUACAAUGUCACUUUGUUGAAAUUCGAAAGUUGUU